UGCGUAGGCGGUGCUCUAAGUCUGUUGUGAAAUCUCCCGGCUUAACUGGGAGGGUGCGGCGGAAACUGGAGUGCUAGAGUGUGGGAGAGGUAAGCGGAAUUCCUGGUGUAGCGGUGAAAUGCGUAGAUAUCAGGAGGAACACCUGCGGUGUAGACAGCUUACUGGACCACGACUGACGCUGAGGCAAAGACUGGGUAGCAAACA
rnacentral:rRNA from 1 species